AACGAACGCUGGCGGCAGGCCUAACACAUGCAAGUCGAGCGAGGACUUCGGUUCUAUCGGCGGCCGGGUGUGUAACGCGUGGGAAUGUUCCCUUCUCUACGGAAUAGCUCUGGGAAACUGGGAGUAAUACCAUAUACGCCCUAUUGGGGAAAGAUUUAUCGGAGAAGGAUCAGCCCGCGUUGGAUUAGGUAGUUGGUGGGGUAAUGGCCUACCAAGCCGACGAUCCAUAGCUGGUUUGAGAGGAUGAUCAGCCACACUGGGACUGAGACACGGCCCAGACUCCUACGGGAGGCAGCAGUGGGGAAUCUUAGACAAUGGGGGCAAUCCUGAUCUAGCCAUGCCGCGUGAGUGAUGAAGGCCUUAGGGUUGUAAAGCUCUUUCAGCUGGGAAGAUAAUGACGGUACCAGCAGAAGAAGCCCCGGCUAACUCCGUG
rnacentral:rRNA from 1 species